rnacentral:rRNA from 1 species
UACGUAGGGUGCAAGCGUUAAUCGGAAUCACUGGGCGUAAAGGGCGCGUAGGCGGCUCAUGAAGGCUGUGGUGAAAGUCCGGGGCUCAACCUCGGAUCGGCCGUGGCGACUCGUGGGCUGGAGCACUGUAGAGGCGGGUGGAAUUCCGGGUGUAGCGGUGGAAUGCGUAGAGAUCCGGAAGAACACCAGUGGCGAAGGCGGCCCGCUGGGCAGUGGCUGACGCUGAGGCGCGACAGCGUGGGGAGCAAACAGG